AUGACGGUCCUAUUUAUAAGGUCCGGCCCACUACGUGCCAACACCCGCCGUAAUACGUCGGGACCAAGCGUUGUUCGGAUUUACUGGGCGUAAAGGGCACGUAGGCGGCUUUGACAAGUCACUUGUGAAAUCUCUAAGCUUAACUCGGAACGGCCACCUGAUACUGCACCGCUAGAGUGCAUAAGGGGCAAUCGGAAUUCUUGGUGUAGCGGGGAAAUGCGUAUAUAUCAGGAGGAACACCUGAGGUGAAGACGGGUUGCUGGGCUGACACUGACGCUGAGGCGCGAAAGCUAGGGUAGCAAACGGGAUUAGAUACCCCGGUAGUCCUGGCCCUAAACGAUGAAUACUUGGUGUCUGGAGUUUUAAUACUCCGGGUGCCGUCGCUAACGUUUUUAGUAUUCCGCCUGGGGAGUACGCACGCAAGAGUGAAACUC
rnacentral:rRNA from 1 species